UGCGUAGGCGGUUUAUUAAGUCAGUGGUGAAAGUGUACAGCUCAACUGUAGAAGUGCCAUUGAUACUGGUAGACUUGAGUAUACUAUAGGCAGGCGGAAUUUAUGAUGUAGCGGUGAAAUGCAUAGAUAUCAUAAAGAACCCCGAUAGCGAAGGCAGCUUGCCGGAGUAUAACUGACGCUGAUGCACGAAAGCGUGGGUAGCGAACAGGAUUAGAUACCCUGGUAGUCC
rnacentral:rRNA from 1 species